UUUUAAUUGUAUGAACAACAGAAUUUCUAACAAUUGUGGCACACGUUGGCUAAAUAAUAGGCAGGACCUGGUUUGUGGAUUAGGUUUUUUUGCUUCUGAAAAUCGAAUCUGUAUUUGUACAAAUGGGUUGUGAAAGGAUGUUUCAAAGCUUGGAUUUGUGUUUAGAUUAUUUUUUUUAAAGAGCCAACAAAUUCUGCAGCGCUGUACAAUGGGUUGCUAAGAAGCCUAUAAUAUUCCUUGUACGUAUCCCCUGUUGUGGCAAUAGCUCUGCCUCUACUCAACUUUGUCAAGUUAAAGGGACACUCCAGGCACCCAGACCCCUUCUGCCCAUUGGAGUGGUCUGGGUGCCAACUCUCAC